GAAACACUGCGGGGCCAGAGGGAAGACAGCAGGACCCAUGCCCCACCCCAGCCAGAGCCCCAGAACCUUCUGCUGCCCCACCUGAGGCUCUGUGGGAACCACAUGGCAUCUUUUCUGUGAUACUUCAUUCUUAAGAUGAAACAGAGGACA
rnacentral:lncRNA from 1 species